UACGUAGGGGGCAAGCGUUGUCCGGAAUCAUUGGGCGUAAAGAGCGUGUAGGCGGCCAGAAAAGUCCGCUGUGAAAACUCGAGGCUCAACUUCGAGCUGUCGGUGGAAACUUUCUGGCUAGAGUCCGGAAGAGGAGAAUGGAAUUCCUGGUGUAGCGGUGAAAUGCGCAGAUAUCGAGGAAGAACACCCGUGGCGAAGGCGGUUCUCUGGGACGGUACUGACGCUGGAGACGCGAAAGCGUGGGGAGCGAACAGG
rnacentral:rRNA from 1 species